ensembl:snRNA U4 U4 spliceosomal RNA
AGCUUUGCAGAGUGGCAGUAUCACAGUCAUUGAGUUUUAUCUGAGUUGUGAUUAUUGCUAAUUGAAAACUUUUCUCAAAAUACAUUCUCUGACCUCCCCC